rnacentral:rRNA from 1 species
UGGCUUAGAAGCAGCCAUCAUUUAAAGAAAGCGUAAUAGCUCACUGGUCGAGUCGGCCUGCGCGGAAGAUGUAACGGGGCUAAGUAGUAAACCGAAGCUGCGGCAAUGUGCUUUUGCACAUUGGGUAGGGGAGCGUUCUGUAAGCGGUUGAAGGUGUGUGGUAACGCAUGCUGGACGUAUCAGAAGUGCGAAUGCUGACAUGAGUAACGAUAAAGGGGGUGAAAAACCUCCUCGCCGGAAGACCAAGGGUUCCUGUCCAACGUUAAUCGGGGCAGGGUAAGUCGACCCCUAAGGCGAGGCCGAAAGGCGUAGUCGAUGGGAAACGGGUUAAUAUUCCCGUACUUCUUACAAUUGCGAUGGGGGGACGGAGAAGGCUAGGUGGGCCUGGCGACGGUUGUCCAGGUUCAAGUGCGUAGGCUUAAGAGUUAGGUAAAUCCGGCUCUCUUUAAGGCUGAGACACGACGUCGAGCACCUACGGGUGUGAAGUCAUUGA